rnacentral:lncRNA from 1 species
AGGGAAGUAGGCUUCAGGCAAGAAUCUGAUUUUGGGCUUGGACAGGAAAGUAGGCUCAGAUAUCUUGGUCAUCCUGAUAAGGCCUUAGAAACAAUGAUCAUGGGACUGUGUUUAUAGUCUUGCUUGUUCCUUGACUAUUUGUGUUUAUUGUGCUGCUUGCCCUUAUUACUCGCAUGUACUUAAAAUGGUAUAAAAGCAGAUUGGGAAAAAAUAAACCCGCCCCAGAACUGGCUGGGGUCCUGUUACAAUGUUGUCUAAUUGUCUUUUUUUCUUUUUAGUCCUCAGUCCUGCACUGGAGAACCUGUUGACUGACUGAGCUGGCUUGGUUAGAGGAUGGAUGCUGUAAGAAUGUCGAAAUCUUUUCACCUUUCUGUCCAUCCCUCCUCCCUCCCUCCUUCCUUCUUUCUUUCCUUCCAUCCUUCUCCCUGUUCUUUCCUUCCAUUCUUCUUCCUUGUUCCUUACUUCUGGUCUUUCUCCUGUUCCUCCCUUGCCCUCCUUUCUCUUGUCUUCCUCUGUCUCUAUUUCUCUCUCUCAUUCUUUUAUUCUUUCUUCCUCUCUUGGUCUUACUAUGUAGCCCAGGCCACUCCUCACUCUUCACCCCCCUCAUUUCUGGCAUCACAGGCAUAUGUCAUUGUGUUCAGCGAGAAUAAUGAACUAUAGCAACAAAGGUUAACUUCCUUAUAAACUGGUAGACUCUCAUAGUCUCCAGGAAGGGCAUACUUCUAGAAUGAGGAAGAACUUGACAUUUUAAUAGGGUUAGGCCACUGGAGUUGAAUCUCAACAG